GUUCUCACCAGUAAGGUGAACCUGGAGGCUUCAAUAUGCUUGCUUGUAUCAAUGGGAAACAGCCCCUGAUGAAGCGCCUUGUGAAACAGCUACUUAUCCCCGGUUGGCUGUAGUGUGAUCUCCCCUAUUUGACUUGUCAUCCACCAUCAGUCAUCAUGGAGCAUGUCACUUGCCUUUUCCUGUAUCAAGGACUUGUGAUGAUUUAAGGACUUAUGCUUUGUACUGUAUACAUCACAGAGCCAGCUGCUUGCUUGUUUUUGGUUCAAGGACUUAUGACUUAUCCUUAUCUGGAAUACAUCUUGGACUCUGCCUGGAUACUAUAUAUACCAUUCAUCAGUUUUUCAUAUUGUUGUUGUUCUGUAGAUUCAUUGGUUCUGUAUGCUGCAUUUUCAUGUUGAAUUCAGUUAUUUAAUUUCUGUGUUUUGAGUGCCUUCAUUUGGCCAGGCGGCUUUGUCUAUUUCAUAAAACUGUUCUUUGUUACAUACUUCA